GAUUCUGAAGACUUCUUUCAGCUGUUCGUCAGUAGGUUAGGUUACUAUGGAGCCUUCCAUAAGAUUAAGGACACCGAAUAACGAAACACACACACUCUUGGAGGCUAAUAACAGUAUUUUCAAACUACUUACUUCAGUUAGAUUUUUCAUGUCUAACGAACCGCAGGUUCAGUUUGGACUGAACGCAGGAGAGAACAGGACUUUGUUUUUUGAGUCUAUGGGCGCCGUCAGGCCCUCGACCAUCUUAAUGGAGAACGUGAAGACGACUAGAAACUGCCCUCAAGGUCUUCCAUACUCUCUUUUGAACGGAAGUUCCCCUCGGUAUAACCCAGUACUCCGUGAUGGUGAAUCUCGAUUUGCGAUCAUUACCAAGAAGCAGAAAAACAUCACAUUAGUCCUACAUAAGCAGGAAAACAGCUCUGAAUUCUGCAUUUGCUGGAACAAAACAGACAACAGCGUCUAUCUGUCAAACACCCUGUGUGUCUCCUGCCCACUUUUGCCGACAUGUGUGCCUCAUUUUCUCAGUCUCGUCUACGAGAAUGAUCAAAUCUCUAAGACACUGCAGAUCAAAGGAACGGACAUUGCAAUAAAAAACGCAUCGCGACAUCUGACAUUCAAAACGGAGAAGGACGAAGGAGGAGAUGUUUACGUAGUACAUGACCUCAGGGAGUUUGACGCGACUUCUGCCAGACAGCCCCGGCCAAAGGGAGACUAUGAUUUUGAAGGACCGAGUUCAGGU